rnacentral:rRNA from 1 species
UACGUAGGGCGCAAGCGUUAUCCGGAAUUAUUGGGCGUAAAGAGCUCGUAGGCGGUUUGUCGCGUCUGCCGUGAAAGUCCGGGGCUCAACUCCGGAUCUGCGGUGGGUACGGGCAGACUAGAGUGAUGUAGGGGAGACUGGAAUUCCUGGUGUAGCGGUGAAAAUGCGCAGAUAUCAGGAGGAACACCGGUGGCGAAGGCGGGUCUCUGGGCCGAUACUGACGCUGAGGAGCGGAAAGCGUGGGGAGCGAACAGG